rnacentral:tRNA from 1 species
CCGCCAUUAGCUCAACUGGAAAGAGCACGGAGCUUCUACCUCUGUGGUUCGGGGUUCGAAAAUCCUCGAUGGCGGACCA